GGAAGUGACCUCUCUGGGUCACGAAGGUUAGCUACACUUUAAGCUAACGAUGUUUCAUCAGGCCUGUUCACUGAAGAAACGGCCAGAGCUGAAUCCAAACAGUUAAUUUAUUAUGUAACAGGGAGGUGAUUACUUUUUAACACGUUAUCCUGAAUUUAUUCCGUUUUUAUCCUGAAGUUAUUCUGAGCUGAAUAGAGGAAAGUUUUCUUUUCCUGAAAGUGAAGAAAAGUUUAGUUUAGAUGUCUUCCUCUUCAUCAUCUUCUUCACUAUCAUCUGAUCUCAGACGGUUCCGACCCAGUUGGACCAGAACCAGCAGCCUGCUGCUGUGUAGGUGUUCAGGUCCUGCAGCCUGCAGCGUCCACCCGCUCAGCCAGAGAAAGUCGUUGGACCAUACCCCCCAGGCUCCCGGCUCCUUGUAUGGGCGAGGAGCCGUGACCUUUGACCUGCAGAAACUUUUGAUGUUCCUGCAGCUUCUGAUACAGGAGCAGGAGUCAUCAUGGCGGGUGAUCGACCAAUCAGAAGAGGAUUUGAAAUAUGGCACACAGAAGUGAUGAAUCACCAAUCAGAGGGGAGGAAGAGGAGCUUAUGAUGAAGGUCUUUGCUGGCACCGCCCCCUUUCCUCGUCACCUGUUCCUCAGGUAAACACCGCUGAAGGUUACAGGUCAACAGAACACGCUGCAGUACCGCUGCCGGCCACCAGGGGGACAAAACCAGCAGCAAUAAUUCAUCAGCCAAAUUUUCUCCUUCCGGUUCUGGAAAGAAACACGAGCUGGUUUUUAUUUUGAUAUUAAUAAAGAAUACAAUCUAAAUAUGUCAAAUAAAACCCAAUAGAACCAGAACAUUUCAAUGAUAACAAUAAUAAUUAGUGAUUCCAACAUUUAAGCACGAUAUUUCAAUAAUAACACUCAGCGUUUGGAGCAGAGCAGCUGCUGGGUGUUUCCUGCAGCUGCCUGUUAGUAUGCAGCUCAGGUCUGCAGCAGGCUGACGCCCAGAGAGCUGCGCUGCAUCCCAACAUGCUGCUGUUCCUCCCACUGAGGCUGCUGCAGGGAGGACUGGGCUGAUCUGGGCCAAAACCAGCCUCAAACUGGGAGAACUGGCCAUGGUGCUGACCUGCUGGAUCCUGUCAUAGUGUCAGAUUAAGAUCUUCUCUUUCCCAGCUCCGUCUUGGUCCCUGUUGUCAUGGAAACAGACCCGUCUUGACAUCAUGCUGAGAUCUGGAGGUUCUGGUCCUGCUGAGGGAGUCCAGUCCAAACGGAGCUGCUCAGAACUGCAGAGUGGACCUCCAUCUCUCCUGGCUUUGCACAUGAGGUGGGAAGUUCUGCAGAACUCCAGUCCGGUUCCUCCGGUCCACUCUGACCCAGUUCCUCUGACCCAAUAUGCAAAGUUUAUUUUCUCAGAAGGUUCUGAAGCAAAGCAGGUUUGAUUCUACCGCUUUGCUUCCCUCCAGCUGCAGAGCUAAUGAGCUGCGGAAGCAUUGACCUUUGACCCCGCAGCGUGUGCCGCCGCUGGCAGGAUCGCGGUGACCCGCUUGGCCAGGAGGCAGAGGUCAGAG